rnacentral:misc_RNA from 1 species
GUGAAUCAUCAAAUCUUUGAACGCAUAUUGCACUCUCUGGUAUUCCGGAGAGUAUGCCUAUUUGAGUGUCAUUUGACUUAAUAUAUAUUACAAGAUUUCUUGGAAUUUAAAAUGGGCUGCCCAUUUUGUGUGGUCGCCUAACAUCUAAGACAAGCUCAUUUUAUUGGGUUGCGUGAUACUAUCAGUUACCUCGUGACUUAACCAGGAAUCAUCGGGCGUGUCAUGAAUUUUGCAA